rnacentral:rRNA from 1 species
ACGAACGCUGGCGGCGUGCUUCACCCAUGCAAGUCGCACGGAAAGGCCUCUUUCGGGGGGUACUCGAGUGGCGAACGGGUGAGUAACACGUGAGUAACCUGCCCUUGACUUUGGGAUAACUUCAGGAAACUGGGGCUAAUACCGGAUAGGAGCUCCUGCUGCAUGGUGGGGGUUGGAAAGUUUCGGCGGUUGGGGAUGGACUCGCGGCUUAUCAGCUUGUUGGUGGGGUAGUGGCUUACCAAGGCUUUGACGGGUAGCCGGCCUGAGAGGGUGACCGGCCACAUUGGGACUGAGAUACGGCCCAGACUCCUACGGGAGGCAGCAGUGGGGAAUAUUGCACAAUGGGUGGAAGCCUGAUGCAGCAACGCCGUGUGCGGGAUGACGGCCUUCGGGUUGUAAACCGCUUUCGCUCAUGACGAAGCUUUGUGUGACGGUAGUGGGUAAAGAAGCACCGGCUAACUACGUG